GCUGGGUGUGGUGGUGGGCGCCUGUAAUCCCAGCUACUUGGGAGGCUGAGGCACAAGAAUCGCUUGAACCCGGGAGGUGGAGGUUGCAGUGAGCCGAGAUUGCACCACUGCACUCCAGCCUGAGUGACAGAGUGAGAUUGUGCCUCGA
rfam:Pan troglodytes isolate Yerkes chimp pedigree #C0471 (Clint) chromosome 8, whole genome shotgun sequence.